GGCGUCCCCUGUGGCGACGGCCUCGGUCUCUGAGCGUGCCCAAAGCGUGCGGCCUGAGCAGCUGAGCGUUCUUAGGAGCACGCUGUCUAAGAGACACCAGCCGGUGCCAGCAGGACCUUCCCAGCUGACGAGGUGCAGAAGGAUGAAAUCCAGGGCAGAGCCCCUCAUCCUGGGUGAGGGGAUUC